rnacentral:rRNA from 1 species
GUUAACCCGGGACAGCAGGCCGGGGUAGUACGGGGGGGGGAAGUGUGGUGGGGAAGUACUGGGCGUAAAGGGCCAGUAGGCGGCCAACUAAGUCGGAUGUGAAAGCCCCAGGCUCAACUUGGGAACUGCAUCCGAUACUGGAUGGCUUGAAUUCGGGAGAGGGAUGCAGAAUUCCAGGUGUAGCGGUGAAAUGCGUAGAUAUCUGGAGGAAUACCGGUGGCGAAGGCGGCAUCCUGGACCGACAUUGACGCUGAACGGCGAAAGCUAGGGGAGCAAACGGGAUUAGAUACCCCUGUAGUC